rnacentral:rRNA from 1 species
AGAGUUUGAUCCUGGCUCAGAUUGAACGCUGGCGGCAUGCCUAACACAUGCAAGUCGAACGCGAAAGGUUUUCGGAUUGAGUAGCGUGGCGGACGGGUGAGUAAUGCGUGGGAAUCUGCCUGGCAGAGGGGGAUAACCCGGGGAAACUCGGGCUAAUACCGCAUACGCCUACGGGGGAAAGGGGGCUUCGGCUCUUGUUGCCAGAUGAGCCUAUGCGAUUAGCUUGUUGGUGAGGUAAUGGCUCACCAAGGCGACGAUCCGUAGCUGGUCUGAGAGGAUGAUCAGCCACAUCGGGACUGAGACACGGCCCGAACUCCUACGGGAGGCAGCAGUGGGGAAUAUUGGACAAUGGGCGAAAGCCUGAUCCAGCCCAUGCCGCGUGUGUGAAGAAGGCUUUCGGGUUGUAAAGCACUUUCAGUGAGGAAGAAAGCCUUGGGGCUUAAUACCCCCAAGGGACGACAUCACUNCACAGAAGAAGCACCGGCUAACUCCGUGCCAGCAGCCGCGGUAAUACGGAGGGUGCGAGCGUUAAUCGGAAUUACUGGGCGUAAAGCGCGCGUAGGCGGCGUGAUAAGCCGGUUGUGAAAGCCCCGGGCUCAACCUGGGAACGGCAUCCGGAACUGUCAGGCUANAGUGCAGGAGAGGAAGGUAGAAUUCCCGGUGUAGCGGUGAAAUGCGUAGAGACGGGAGGAAUACCAGUGGCGAAGGCGGCCUUCUGGACUGACACUGACGCUGAGGUGCGAAAGCGUGGGUAGCAAACAGGAUUAGAUACCCUGGUAGUC